rnacentral:rRNA from 1 species
GGAUACCUACGGGGGGCAGCAGUGGGGAAUAUUGGACAAUGGGGGGAACCCUGAUCCAGCGACGCCGCGUGAGUGAAGAAGUAUUUCGGUAUGUAAAGCUCUAUCAGCAGGGAAGAAAGAAAUGACGGUACCUGACUAAGAAGCCCCGGCUAACUACGUGCCAGCAGCCGCGGUAAUACGUAGGGGGCAAGCGUUAUCCGGAUUUACUGGGUGUAAAGGGAGCGCAGGCGGUAUGGCAAGUCAGAUGGGAAAACCCAGGGCCCAACCCUGGGACUGCAUUUGAAACUGCCAUACUGGAGUGCCGG